CCUACGGGUGGCUGCAGUGGGGAAUAUUGGACAAUGGGGGCAACCCUGAUCCAGCCAUGCCGCGUGUGUGAAGAAGGCCCUCGGGUUGUAAAGCACUUUCAGUGAGGAAGAACGCCUGGUGGUUAAUACCCAUCAGGAAAGACAUCACUCACAGAAGAAGCACCGGCUAACUCCGUGCCAGCAGCCGCGGUAAUACGGAGGGUGCGAGCGUUAAUCGGAAUUACUGGGCGUAAAGCGCGCGUAGGUGGCUUGAUAAGCCGGUUGUGAAAGCCCCGGGCUCAACCUGGGAACGGCAUCCGGAACUGUCAAGCUAGAGUGCAGGAGAGGAAGGUAGAAUUCCCGGUGUAGCGGUGAAAUGCGUAGAGAUCGGGAGGAAUACCAGUGGCGAAGGCGGCCUUCUGGAAUGACACUGACACUGAGGUGCGAAAGCGUGGGUAGCAAACAGGAUUAGAUACCCGUGUAGUC
rnacentral:rRNA from 1 species